rnacentral:lncRNA from 1 species
AAAAAAAAAUGGUUUCAAAACAUGUUUGUAAGUUUUGAAAACUUUUAAUGAAAAUUAUACAUUCACAUGUGUUUUUUAAGAUUUAACUUGUGCCCACAGGUGUGUGCCGAGCCUGAUUCCUCCCUGGUGAACCUACUGCCACCCAGAUUCAGGCUAGGCCCACCGUUUUCCAGCACAAGAAAAAUUCAGUAAAAAAUAAAAAUGAUUCCUGCAUAUACAAAGCAAACACAAAUCUUUGCUAGAAAUCAAAUGUUUAUUGCUGAAUGUGCUGCAAAGCACUCUUAAAAGCUUUUCUACCAAGUGUUUGAUUCUAGCAGAGUAAUAACCGUAUUAUAUCUGGAGCUCAGAGUAAAAGGAUCUGUGAAGGAAUUGCUUAACCUCUCAAGGUUAUUUACCUCUUUUUUUCUGUUUUCCAAACACAGGUUAUUCUAUCAUGAUCCAAGUUUCUAGAGUCAGUCCUGGAUAUGGAGCUUGGCUGUGUUUACGGCUCUAUAAAAAUGUUUGUAAAACGAAUAUCUUUGAAUAAAUUAUCUGGUCCAGAGAUCUGUGCUGUGUUUGAGGCAGACUCUUCUAGAGCUUUUCUAAGCGAUAGGCUCCUAGACGAUUUGAAAAUAGUUAUACUCUCUGCGGUGCUGGGGUUUCGGUGACACCAUCAUAGCUGCAUAAAUCCGGAGCAAUCCUUGAGGCUUCACUUGCCUCUCAGACAAAGCCACCCUGACGUGGCAUGUCAAGCGCCAGGCUGGGCUGUGUUUAAUAAGGUAGACUUGGAAACAAAGCCCUUCUAGACCUUUUCUAAGCGAUAGGCUUCUCCACGAGUUGAAAAUAGUUAUACUCUCUGCAGUGCUGUUGCGUCUCGAGGUUUUGGUGACACCAUCAUAGCUGCGUACAUCCGGAGCAAAUCCUUCCGGAGUGACGCUUCACUUGCCUUUCGGACAAAGCCACCCUGACGUGGCAUGUCAAGAGCCAGGGCCUUGUGGUACUUGUAACGCCUCCAUGCAAGCUGGAUGUUUACAGCUGCCCAGGUCCGCCAUCCAGGCGAGUAGUACCGGGUAGUGUGCCUCAGCUUCUCGUUGAUGAAGGUGUGCUGAAAGUUCUGCGUCACGUACUUCAAGUCUUCGGCUUCAAGGCCAAACGCCUCCACUGAUUCCAGGCAGCUGAUGGUGGCAAUGGAGGGUGGCAAACUCGCAAUUGUGUCGGAUGACCUGUAUAGGCACCACGGUAGAAGUUCUUCCCCACAAAAGUUGCCAGGGCCCAGUGUGACAGUGCUCAUUUUGCUCUUGCCCACUCGAUACACGCUCUCAAGUUGCCCACGGACCAUAAAUAGCAUGCGUAGCACGGGGUCGCCUUCUCUCAUAAUCUGACGUGCACAUUUUCAGAGCAGCCGGCGUUAAUAAAAACAAAGAUUACAGUGGAGCUUCUUACGAUUUCGUCCUUGAUAUAAAGGAUUGGCUUCACGCGGUCGCAAAUAUUGUCUAGAACCACUUCGUCCAUCUGUCCAAACAGUGGGACCUGCAUAAUUUAACAGUAGGAAUGGAUAUUGACUAAUCUUUAUCAUUGCAGUGCUUGCCUGUCGAACAAGGUCGAGACAGAGAUGCCUCUUGAUGUCUCGUUUGAUGCCAUCUGGCAAGUCACAAACCAUGGCAUGCUCGUCUACACCCCGGGUGGAAGCCCAUUUCUGCCGCUCGUAAUGUCGGACACGGUGCCUGAGGCGAGUUGGAAGCUGACGCCUCUUCAUCCAGUGCUCCAGGUCCCUCAUCUUAAGCUGCAUUUCUUCUUUCUUUGAAGUCAUAGAAUAGAGAAACAUCUGCCGUUUGACAUGGUUGCUGUUAGUCCUUAAACAUCAAAUAAUAUUCUCAACACCUGAAUGUUUCCAAUGAGAAGUGUGAAGAGCAAUAGGCCACAGGUGAUGACAAUGAUGCUGAAUGCAACCUCUGGUACAUGGUUGGUGGGCUCCAAGUUUCCAAAUGAGCUGCACAUUGGCCCUGAUUCAAAUGGCUUUAAGGGAAGAGGCUCUUACCUCAAUGUCAUGAGACCCCAAAAAAUUGGGUAGCUUAUCCGUUCCAGCCAGUUCCUGGUGAGGGCCAGAGGUAUUGUUGGCUGGUAGAUUCCGUAGCUAAAAGUGUUGGUAUAGUUGGAAAUGCAUGAGAUGAAGGCGGCCGAGUUAAUGCUGAGAGGUGAUGUAGUUGAUCCUUUGACUGGGGCAUGUCCAAACGAGAUAGGUUUGUGGCAACCUAGCCAUGAGGAUCGAAACCCCUUCUUUUCGAGCUGAACGUGCAUACAUGUCUCAAUACGCUGAAGACCCAGUAGAUACCAGCAAGCUCCUGCGACCUGGACGAUACAGACCAGAGUAAGUAAAUGUGAAUGUAGUGAGUGAAGCUUACAUGCGAGGCAAUGAAGUAGGCUGUGAGAUUGAGGACAAAUCCCCACCAUGCGCUGCUAAAAAUGUAGCCUGUCACAUGUUGCAUUCUUCGCAUGAGAAGAACCAAGUGUGACACCUUAGGCAGGUACUGGAGAAUAAAAACGAAGAGAACGAGGCUCAUCAUGUGAAUUCCCUGGUUACGCUUUGUGAUCAUCCCUGGAACUAUCAGCCAGAUCAGAACCUGCAGAAUGUGUAGUCAGUGUUCGAAUGGAUCUCGUUCAUUUUCAAUUACCUCCAUGAUCGGCAGCAUAACCAGAACGUCGCAGAGGAAGCCCUCACGUUGCUGAAUGUAAUGCAAUGCUACCUUCUUACCGUCCCACACCAGUUUUCCCCUCCCAACGACAAGGCUCUUCUUAGACACGAAUGCAAGCUUGAGCUGCAGCCGGACAUGCCACAGCAGCAUGACAUCGAUCGCUGCCCGAAGAAUGGUCACCAGUGCUGCAAACCACCCGUCAACAUGAAGGCAGGUGGAGUCCUCAUCGAUCGAAACGACAUACAGGAAUAGGGGAUCGAUUGCUAAGCUGAGCCCACGAGAUACAAGGAAGAGCCGGUUCCAAGCACGGAUAUACCUGCUUCUUGGGUCCAGGACUUGACCAAAGAUCCAGCUGCGGCUCUCACUAGAUCCAGGCUCGGGUUUGUUGCUCGUUUCUGGCUGUGCGCCGCUGCUACUGCCGCUGGUGGUUGACAAUGGCCGUGUAGUAGGACCGGAUGACAAGCUUAAGUCAAAGCGAUCUCUAGGCUUGUCUCCCGGAAUCCUUUUCCAGAAGUUGAACAAAGCAGCUACUCUUUGCACCACGGAAGACAUCCUGCAUCAAAAGAAGGGUGAGGCGGGGAGAAGUCAUUUCGAUGUGAUCAAUUACUUAGACAAGCUAGUGAAUUUGAGAGCCACCGAUCGAAGUCACAAGGAUACAGAGGAUGGCUAACAUCAGAUCAUCCGUUUCCCUUGCCUCCUUUAAUUCUUCUUCUCCAUCCAAUCGGGCCAACAUAACGCCAUGGCAUUUGGUUCAUAGAGCUAAAGAGUGAACACUGAGCAUCGCAGGUACAAGUUCGAAAACUAGCAUCUCAAAUUUCUUUGCAGCGCAAGAAACAUUCGCUUCGCAUUUCAAGGAAGAAAACAAGAUACAAGUGCACCCUUUGCUGUUUCUACAAGGCCAUCUUUUGCAUUUUCUCUUUGUCGCGACUAUCGAAUUUUUUAUUUCUAUUUUUCAUUGACAGGAAAUAAGUGGCCUGUGGCCAUUUUUUUCUUAUCAUAGUACAAGGCAAUGGUGUUGUGUACAACGAUAUUUAUAACAUCAGCGUUGAUAGCGACAUCAGAACUAAAACGUCAUUUAAAGACUUUAGAAGUGUGGGUGAAAGUAACAGCACUCGUGGACAGGAUCUCAUUAAUAUCAGCCACAUGGGACAUUCCAGUAGCUCCAGAAAGCACGGCAGCUUUUGCUUUUCUGUUCGAAUUUCAUAAAUUUGGAAGCUUGAAGUUGUUUGAAGCUGAUUUUCAGUUUAAUGUAGAGUUAUUAGUUCCGUGGCAGCUGAAUCCUGGGUUUAACAGCUUGUGAGCACCAACCAAGAAGAAGGUGAAACCGAGGUGCCGCUAGGAUUGAUGGAGUUUAAAAGUACAUGUAAUAUACUCAAGAGAUCUACUGGGGAAAAAGGGACAAGCACAUGACACCAAAAUGUAGCCAUUCAGAUAAAUGCCGAGCGCGCAUGCUAUAACUGUAGGUAGGUAAACAUGUUCUUGCUAUUCUUAUUACCUAGCUACAGCCGACCGAAAUUGUUACAGAAGGUACUUUGCGGGUCUUGGAAUUGUCCUCCAUGGCCUGGUUCGUUUCUUUGUCGAAUGAACCACUGCUAUGUAGGAUGUUCUUUCUCGCGGGCUUGCCUCUGCGCUUCUUGCGCGUGAUUGCAAUGGCAAUGUCGUUCGGAAAGAGUGUCCUCCACACAAACGCAUGGACGAGAGUGAAGACAAACAAAAGGAAGACAACAGUGACCGCCACGAAUGAAAUUACUGUGGCCAGGCCUUGCGUAAACAAGCCGGGUUCUCUCACUGCGUAGUGAAUCGAGGCAAUGGCAACAGCCGUGAGAGGGAAUGUGUAUGCCCACCACGUCAAAGAGAACCUGUAGCACAGCACAGCCGUGUUAGAGCAAAAUGAUGGAGAGGGCUUUAAAGUAAGUACUUGAAGCCACGAAAGAUACUGACGCGAACAACCUGCAUGUAAAAGCGGAGCUAGAUGUUAGCAACUUGAGACUAAGCUUGAGCUUUUCUACCAGCGAGAAGAGCAAGAAGAGGCCGAGAAAAAAGACGAGCUUGGAAACGUAUCCAAAGUCGCUGGUGAUCUUUUCCCAGGCAACACUAGCGGUGCUGGGAACUGCGAGAAAGAGGAAGUAGACAGGGUGCAUGUCCCGCGUCAGCAGCUCGUUGGUUGGCAAGCGUUGGUAGAGCGUGACGAAGACGACGACAUAGUGCGCGAUGCCCACGGCCCAGAAGAAGGUUGCGAGCUCCUUCCACUCGACUGUGGCGCCCAGCAGCGACCCCACAAAGUUGCCCACAAUGGAGACGUGCGUGGCGGGGUUGGCCACCUUGGACAGCCUCCGCUCCCCUCCGGACAACCAUUGGCCAUAGAUCUUAAGCUCCAGCACCACCAGGGGCGACAUGAAGACGAGCCAGGCGGCGGGAUGGAUUGAGGCGGCGAUGGUGGGGGGCACCCCGAGCGUGAGAAACAUGCCGCACACCCAGGGAGCAAAGAAGAAGUUGAUGCGCACCGGGUGGUAGAACUCACGCCUCACAGCCUCAAAGUAGAAGAUGCACUUGCACACAUAAGUGAGGGAAAUGAGGGUGUAGGCGCACAAGGCGACACACCACAGGACGAAGUUAAUGUGGAGGGGGAUGUGAAGGAAGCGCAUCGAAGGCAUGAGGGACAGCUUCUUCCACAAGAUGGUCUGGCUGCCUAGACCCAGCACGAUACCGAACGAGUUGAUGGGGAAGCGGAGCAAAAAGGGCCACGUCUGGUCCGUUGGGAGCAGCAAGUCUUCACUCUCCUGCGCGCACGUUUAAAAUUCAGCUCAUCACCUUUUACUCCUUGUUAGUGUAAAACUUACCUUGAGAACUUCCAGCUCGGGUCCCUGAAGCGCAUCAAGGUAUCGACCCGCAGGGACAUUUGCCUCGAGUGGUCGUGGUGAGGUGGGAUCGCCAUUAACAGCAGCAGCGGUGGUGGCGGCGGUGGCGGCGGCAGCAGCAGCGGCACUGGUGUCGCGGUUCCUUGAGUUGAAACUGAGCCUAGACAUGGGAGACCUUGUCUGGAACAUGGUGUACGUAUCCGGAGUGCGCCUCUUCCACGGAGACAGGGGCUCCUCCCGUCGCAUUACACCCGAGAAGCUUCUCCUCCAUCGGUGCAAAUCCGGAUUGGGGGUGCUGCCGAGCUGCGAGCUGAAGCGCUGGUAGUUUUUGGACUGUUUGCUGCCGGCCGGUUCGUGCACUUGAUCCAUGAGACGGGGAUCAUCGUUAAACGUGUCCUUGGCUUCCAACUCCAAGACACGAAACGAGUCGGAGCGAUCGGAGUGAAGCUUCUCCUCAGCCAUGACCAAAAACAGGCGAGCCGAGCACACAGAUCACAUCCAGAGUGGUCUAUCAUCAUCUACUUAUAGGCCAGGCACCAAAUGCAUGGAGUGCCCAAGCCACGGGGAGCUAAAGAGGAAAGGGAAGAGUGCUCCCCAUCAACUUUUUGGUGAUCGAUCGGAGAUACUCGUCGAUCGAUCACUCGAGAGAUUCGAUGCUCCCAUAACAAUCACCCAAGAAGCCGUGCUCUGACUGCCUUACCAGAUGGUGCGGUUCUCUUCCACAUUCAUCCAUCCAUCCAUCCAUCCACCAAACUAAAAGCUCUUUUGACAUCGGAGAGCGACCGAAUUUCUUUUCUGAAAAGAUUGCUGCUCGAUCGAAACGAGAGAGAGAAAGAGAGAGAGAGAGCCAUACCGAUCCCACGGCCGUGGAUGAGCCACGUCAAGCGGUCCUCUCCCAACGGCUAGUGACCCAAGCUUGUUCUAGGUCACGCACAAGUCGAGUGUGGGCGAUGGGCUCUGGCGGCUCUGGGAAUCAUCCGGUAGAGGUGGUGGGUCGCAUUCGCGAGCAGCCCGAUCCUAAAUCCUGUCCGGCCGCUCUGUCGGCGGUGGGGAAUGGGUCGUGUGUGCGCGUCAAGACGGAUCAGGGCUACCGCGACUUCCUACUCGACGGUGUCUCUUUCUCUGCGCACGAGAAGCUGGCCGCCUUCUACGCCAGGUAUGUCGAGUCGAGAGUGGACGAUGUGCGCUGCGGUGGCCGCUGCACGAUCAUGAUGUAUGGGCCGACGGGCGCGGGAAAGAGUCACACCAUGUUUGGGUCGGCCAAGGAACCCGGUGUUGCCUACCUCGCCCUUCAUCACGUCAUGAGCAAAACCGCUGCUCAGGAGGUUAGCGCCAACGUCCUCGAGAUCUACAACGAAGAUGUGUACGAUCUUCUGGCCGGUGGCAACACUCCGCUCUCAAGCCCUGGCCCAAGAUGUGCUAAGUCCAUCUCUGGACGGGUAAACUUUGACAAGAAUGGCUCUGUUGCCGCCACUCACGCUCUCAUGCAUGCAGCCCAAGCUGGAGGUGCGGGGCAAGAAAGUCAGGAAUGCUACCAGUAUCUCGAGCAUAGAUCCCACCAAGCUUGUCCAGGAAAUCGCUAGAGUUGAGAAACGACGUGUUGUGAAGAGCACCAACAGCAAUGACAGGAGCUCCCGGAGUCACUGCAUGGUGCGUCACUCGCUUUCCCCUUCUUUCCUCCUGCAGAGCUUGAAAGUUGCACCCGUAGGUCGUGCUGAACAUCCUUGGUGUGGGCGGAAGGCUGGUGCUCGUGGACAUGGCCGGUUCGGAGAACUCCGAGCAAGCUGGAUCAGAGGCAAAGAUACAGGUAUCGCCCGUCUGGUCUUUCAUUGAGUGCAUACCAUUGUCUGUAUGUCUGGCAGACCGGAAGAAUCAACCAAGGCAACAGUGCUCUCAAGAGAGUUGUGGAGUGUAUUGCAAAUGGAAACCCGUAUAUUCCCUACCGGGACAGCAAGCUUACUAUGCUCUUACAGGCAAGCGAGUGCUCUAGGAACGAUAUCGUCUUAUAUUCCUUUGCUCCAGGACUCAUUUGAGGUCGAUGGAUCGAAGAUAUUGAUGGUUUUGUGCGCCAGUCCAGAUCCAAGAGACGUCUACAAAACGAUAUGCACGCUUGAGUACGGAGCCAAAGCCAAGUGCAUUGUUCGGCUUCCAACUUCUCCCCCUAGAGACGGCAGCAGUCAGAAUAGCAGCGAGGCUGCCCUACAGGCUCGUCUUGAGUUCAAAGACGAGUGCCUGGAGAGGCUGCGUGCGGACUACGAGCAGAAAGUGAAGGAUCACGAGGAGGAGAUGGAGAAGCUGGCAGACAGAGAGAUGGAGCUUUCCAAUCUGAGGACGAAUUUGGAGAGGGUGGAAGCGGAGUGGUCUGGGAAGAUGGCGGAGUUCAGAAAGGAAAUGGGUCGUGCGAUGGAGCUCAAGAGCCAGGAAUUGCGCACAGCGCUCGAACUUGAGGUGCGAGAGAGGACUCCCGGGCUGGACGUGGGUUCGUCUUCGGAACAAGAACGUUUAACAGAGCUGGAGCGAGUUGUGGAAGAUCAGAAGCAAGAAAUUGGGCGGUUGCGUCUGAGGGCCGAGACUGCGGAGGCUGAGCUUGUUCGCUUGCAGCAGUCAACGCGCAUGGUAGCAAAGUCCCGGGAGAGAGCGGAGGAGGGGCUGUUGUGUCUGGACACGAAGCAGCUGACACAGGUAUCCGCAGUCGAGAGCUUGAACUCGUGGGCAUCGCACGCCGCUUCUCCAAGGCUGCUGUCGUGUGCCGCUGACAACGGGCCUCCAUCUUCGGCACAGACAAACGCUGACUUCAAUUUCAGCUGCGCGUUCCAGCAGAAAGCUUCUUCAUGUGGUCAAGCAACGUGUCCGGCCAGUCCUACAAGCCCCACAGAUUCGGCUUCGCCCAGUGCUGCAGCAGCCAGGAGAGCCCGGAUCGAGAACAUCUUCCAGCUGUGCGGGGACGGUCGCGAGAGGUGCAAGACGGCCAACUCCCCCAAGCCGCCCAAGCCCCCCGGGAACAAGUCGAGCCGUCCGUUGCGGGCGGUGGAAAAUCAAACCGCCGCAGUCAGUCCGCCGCCACCAUGCAAGCUGCGCAGGCACGGUGAAAACUUAGCGCCAUUCCUCUAAAAGGCUAAGAGGUGCCCUAACCUGCAAUGGCUUGUGCGGUGGUGACCGGAGGCAGAGGGUUCCUGGGACGGCACCUGGUGCACAAGCUGCUGGAAUCCGGCAAAUGGGAGGUGGUGCGGAUCAUGGAUCUGGCGGCUGGCCUGGCGGUGGACGCGGAUGAGGAGAAGGCGUUGAGCGCGGCUCUGGAGAGCGGCAGGGCGCAAUACGCUGGGGUUGAUCUCCGCAAUCUCCCCCAGGUGAUUCAAGGUUGUAUGCCACGAAGCGCUUGCGUGGUUGGUUGACACGCUACGCUCUCCUCCUUUUGACUUGACAGCUCUCGAGCAUGCCACCGUUGUCUUUCACAUGGCUGCACCCGAUUCCUCCAUCAGCGACUGGAAGCUGCACCACUCGGUCAAUGUGAUUGGUAAGUGGCCGGCCAUCCAUCCAAGCAAUCAGAUCCCGAGUGUUGGGUGUUGCAAGGCACGCGCAAUGUGAUUGAGGCGUGCAUCGAGCAGGGUGUGCACAAGCUCAUCUACACCAGCUCACCCAGCGUUGUGUUUGACUACAUCAAUGGGGUCAAGGAUGCGGAUGAGAGCCUGGCGUACCCAGCCAAGGUGCACUCUCUCUCUCUCUUUCACCCUCUCUGGCUUGUGAACUUGAGGAGCUUGUUACCUGCAGCUCAUGGAUUCGUACUCUGAAACCAAGGCGCAAGCCGAAGCACUUGUCCUGGAUGCCAACGGUAGGCAUGGGCUGGCCACCUGCGCUAUCCGCCCGAGUGGGCUGUUUGGGCCGGGUGACCGGCUGUUUCUACCGUCGAUUGUGGCAGCAGCCAGAGCAGGCAAGCUCAAGGUGUGCGCUUCCGGUGUCGAUGGCCGAGACUCACGUGUGCCUUGACUGCUUCAGUUUCAGAUCGGGAGCGGCGACAACAAGUUCGACUGGACCUAUGUUGAGAACGUGGUUCAUGCUCACGUGUGUGCCGAGGAGGCAUUGGUGGAUGCAAGCGGUGUUGCUGCUGGCAAGGUAAGGCCAUUGUGUUCCUCCCUUCCCUGGAGGUCAGGUCGCUUGCUCGCAGGCCUACUUCAUCACCAACUGCGAGCCGGUCAAGUUCUGGGAGUUUCUGUCCGAGUUCCUGGAGCGAUUGGGAUACUCGCGGUGCGUGGGGCAAGCGUUGCAUCGAGUGUAUGAGCUAACUCUGGCUUCCUUGUGCGUUGUUCCAUGAUGCAGGCCCCAGUACCAGCUGCCAGUCGCCUUGGUUCUGCCCCUGGCCUGCAUUGCCGAGUGGGCUUGCAAGCAGCUUGCACCGCUGGGGGUCCCGAUGACGCAGUUCACCCCCGCCAGGAUACGCUACAUGACCUUGUGGCGAACAUUCAGCUGCGACCGAGCCGCGAGUCUGCUCAAGUACAAGCCGCUCUACACAGUGGAGGAGGGCAUCCAGCGGACGGUGGCGUCGUUCCAGCACCUGCGGGCUUCCCCAGCCGCCGCCGGCGAUGGCAAGUCAGCGGCACGUUGGUGGUGGAUGGUCCUUGUAGCCGUCGUUUUGCUCGCGGUAUUUUUCCAGAGAUUCCUCCACGAGGUAGCCUAGACUAAAGAAAGAAACAUUUUGGUGCGAAAUAGGCGAGAUUUAGGUCGUGGUGAUGGCGGCACUGGUGCUGGGCGGAGCUGUUGUGAGUCGGACAGAAAGGCUGGUGCCGCUGUCUUGCUACGGUGAUGCAAGGCGGCGCCAUGAGCGGCGGCGGCGGCGGCAGUGGGAUGGCAAGACGCAGCAGCAGCAGCAGCAGCAGCAGGAGGAGGAAGAGAGCAGGGUGAGCAUCACGGUGGAGGAUCUCGGCAGCAGCGCAAGGGAUGCCCUUGUGCGGAUGGCACGAAGGGGCGACGAGUGGCGAGCAAGCCUCGUGUCUAUGACUUGCUCUGCUGCUGUGGUCGGGCGAUCCGCGUCCGCAGCAGACUUGAUGGGCUUGGGGGCGCUGUGCCUGCUUCUCGUGGCUCUGGCGACCAAGGCUGUCAUGGCCUUGGCGGCCAGGGGAAAGAGGAAGCUAGUGGUGAGGAGAGAUCGGAGCUUGGGCGGCAGGGAAGUCGUAGUUGCCGCGCACAACAAGAUACAGAGCAGGCCCCUGAUCCCUCUCCACGAUUCCCCAUCCAACCUUGAGAGGCGGCAGCAGCAGCAACGGCGGCCAAGGAAGGAGGAGCUGCCUGCAUGGUGGCGCCACGCAUCAUCACCAUCCGCCGGUGAUUCGUUUGCUCAAGCCGAGGCCAAUGCGCUUGUGCGAGGUAAGGAAUAUUGUGGAGUGGCACAUAUGCUCUUGCUUGAGAAUCAGGACUUGUGCAGCGGUUGUCAACAAGCGUUUGGGUGGCGUAGACUUCGACGAGGAGGACGCUGUACAGGUAGAAAACACAUACACAUAGACACACGCGCGCAUUUGAGCUCAACUGUUUGGUAAGGCUGGCUGUGUUGUGUGCUUGUGUUCAGCUCAGACAGAUUUGCAGACACUCUGGUGCAAGGGUUGAUUUUGGCACCGAAAACACUCGUGAUUCCUUCUUCCGAGCGGCCGUUGGAUUCGUUUUGUCUGCCUGUUCCAGGUAGUAGCUAUGUUCGUCUCCACGCUUAGCUUAAAGCUGUGGUUUCCAGGCUAAUAAGCUCCGGUGACAGCGAGGUGGAAUACGGCGGGGAAAGCAUGGUGUCUUUCGUGUGUGGUUUGGCCGCAAAUAUAGGCUUGGAGCCUGCGAAGGCAGCUUCAAUUGUGAAUGCUGCUGUUGCUGCACGCACUCGUGCAGGAUUUUUGCAGGCGUGGGUAAGUAAGAAUUUCUGAGGCCAUUGCUGGCACUGAGGGGUUGGUUGCAGGCGAACGUUGCCCAAGAGAGGAUGAGCGACGCCAUGUCCGACAUCAGGCAGCUCGUGUGCAUGCACCGGGUUUUCCCUCCCGAGCCUAACUCGGUAAGCGAAGUGUGUGCACGUAUGAAGUUUCCAAAAACUCCUUUCUCCACAGCCUCACAUGGAGAUGGUUGGCCGUGGCCUAGAAGCACACCUUACUCCCCAGGAGCGACUGGAGCUGCUGCAAAUCUACUCCAAGCUAUCGGCACAAGGGGCUCGUGUGGCAGAGGAAGCUCUGUCACUUCCUUCUUCCUGGAUCAGCCUAGGUGACUGACUAAUCGAUCCCUCUGGUAGGCCGAACCAAUCGACAAGAGCCAAUCAAGAAAGCUGCAUGUCGUGGCACCAAAGUUUUUGUGUUGGACCGUCCUUAUCUGGUUUGGUUUCGAGCAAUAUGAGCGAGCUAGCGAGAGUGCGAGAGAGUUUAAAACGCAGAGUGCCUUGCAAGCCACGACGGGAGACAGGCAGGAUAAUGAUAUGUUUAGUUGCAAAACAGGAGCGUACAUUGUGCGAAAACACCGCGAUCAAAACUCAUUCUCUCUAGUUCGCUCUCUCCUGAUUCUCUCUCUCUCUCUCUCUCUCUCGGACACGACGGAUUCCGUGAUUUGCUGCAGUUAGCCGAGAGCUGAUUUGGAGGCGGAUCUCACGGGCUCGAGAGAGCUCAUCAAGGGCGCUGGAUGUUCCGAUCGCAGGGCAUGGGCGAGGCGCAGGCUUAAGGAGACCAGCCAUGAGCAGCAGCAGCGGCAGCGGCAAUGCAGCUGCAGGCAUUGGGCGUUCUACUGGAGGUGCUGCUGCUGCUGGCGGGGACUUGUUUGGGGCAGCUGGAUGUGGUGCUCACGCGCCGGCCCCCGCCGGCAAGCUCCCACACCAACGUCUCGUUCCAGUUUGAUGUCUUGGAUGGGAAAGGGCGCCAUCCCUGUGCCACAUUACCAUGCUCCAUUCGCUGCAGGGUGGGUUUCAGGCUGUGCGUUUUCUUGCUCUUGAUGGUUUGCUUUCCCUCCCCUUCAGCUGGACCAACUCGCGUCGGAGGAUUGCUCGGGCCGCGCGGGAGUGUCUUACAGCAACCUGCGAGACGCCAGGCAUACGUUUGAGGUGUCUGUCAACACGUCGACUGGGCUCCGCGCCUCUGCGCACUACUCGUGGAUCGUAGGUAUAUAUGGAUCUAAGCAUCUCUCCUAUUGGCUGAUCAGAUGCGAUAUGACUUUCACAGACACGAUCGCUCCCACAGCCGCCAUAGUUCCCAGCCAGACCUUCACCAACGGUUUCAAUGUCGCUGUGCGUUUUGUCUUCAGUGAACCCUGCAUCGCGCCCAAUGGUUUGCAGUUCUCGUGCGCAAGCGAGUCGAGCUGUCCCGUAAGUAGAGAAAGGGUGGUAAUCAUCUCAAGUGAUUUUUGUCCAUGGCUUACUCAGCUGGUGGUGCGUGGUCCGGGAGCUCUGCUGCCCUCAUCGUUCAAAGUUAUUCGUGACAACGUCGAGUACAGCUUGAGCGUCUCCCUCUCCAACUCCACCGCCAAGGGCCGGAUCCUGCUGGUCAUGGCCAAAGCUCUGUGCUCCGAUGCAGCCGGUAACGUGUUCGUCAGGAGCAGCAACUCGGUUGCCAUUGUCCGCUUUGGUAGGUGGAUGAGCUCAUUACGAGUCUGAUAUCAUCUCUUUCAAUUUGCAGAUCGCGGUGCCGUAUUCGUCAAUCUGUGGACGCCCGUCGCCGACUCUCUCCUUCUUGUGAACAACGUGGCGAGGACAGUCGAGACCACCAACAGGGUGGAGGAUCUCAAAAUCUACCUGGAUUUUACGGAGCCCGUGCUGAACACAACACAGCAGCUGUCCGCGUUGCUGCGCCCCAACCUUGGGGUGCUUGAGCCUACCAGACGAAAGAGUCGAGGCAACCGAAGGUUUGCUUUCUUGGUGGGUGAAUACAAUACUAGACCAUUUAUGAAUGACUCAUGCUUUCUUUGCAGCUCACGAACAUAUCGACUACGAGUGCUGUCAUCACCGUGGAGCUGCAGUCGAGCCUUGUUAUCAGCAGAGCUGGCUCCCGUGUGCAGCCCGUAGCCCCAGCCAGCUUCUUGUUUGGUGCGGACGUAACUGAUCAUGACGUUGUUGUCAAGGUGCUCACAAGAAUUGUGUCGUUUCAGAUCAAGUGAGGCCUCAAGCUCUCGUUAGCACGCUAUGGACGUCGCCAGCUAAAACGAGGAACCGUCUGUUUCCAGUGCUGAUCCGGUUCUCGGAGCCGGUCUUUCAGUUUACAUCCGCAGCUGUGUCUACAGAAGGCGGAAGAGUUUCCAGGUACAAAGAUCAAUGAGGUCUCGAGGUUUGAUGUGAUUUUCUUGUGUUAGUUUCAAGGAGUUGUCUGAGGCGACAUAUUUCCUGGAGGUUACAAUUACUCGGGAAGAUGAUGUUGUCUCAGUUUUUGUUCCAGAGAAUGCUACAACUGACGUUGCUGGGAACACAAACUUGGCAUCCAACUUGUUGCGAGUGAGGCAUUGUACGAUGUUUGCACGCUGCGUCUUGAAAGGCCAUGACUAAAGAUUGUUUCCGUCCGGUGAGCAGACACUGUACCUCCCAUAUCCGGCGCACUCUAUUCCUUGAUUUCUGCUGGCUUGCUCGCAACAGCGGUGUUCUCUGCAGCCCUCUCCAUCUCAUGUGCAAGCUUAGCAGCAGCCGGAGCUCUAACCAGCAGCACCGUCAGUGCUAUUGUCACAGAUCCUUCACGAAAUCUGCUGGUAAGAGCAUAAAAAGUGCAUCUAUCUGUCGCCUAAAAGGUGAUUCGAUUCCCAGGGAAUGGUCGGUCACCUCCAGGUAUUUGCUCUGUCCGAGAGACUGACCGUUAGGAGCGUGCCGCGUGAGUAUUCUGAGAGCGUGAGGGGACUACGAUGGCUCAUUCCACACGUCAAAGUCCCAUGGGAGAAGGACCGACCGGUGUCUGAUGCGUUUGAUAUCGACUCGCAGCCCGCUCCAUCUUUGGUCGAGACAAGGUGGCGGAAGCUGCACGCUGCCAUGCCAUUGCAUGGACGAAAGCUUGGCUCAAAUUCGUCUACUUUCGGACCUCCUCUACGAGCUGCCGAAUACCAGAGCUAUUUUGAGGUUUCGUGGAAUAAUCCAAUGGCACCUUUUUUGACUGCUGCUUGCAGAAACCGCAAACUACUUCUUCUCUUCAAGACUUGCUGAGGCGCAAGUACACGGGGUAAGCCAUCUUCAUUUUCAACAUUUGCUUCAUUCCGAGUGGGCUAUGAAGGUGGCACGAUUUUGAGAGGAAUGUGUUUUGGUUGGCGGUGGCUGGACUGGCUCUCACACUUGUUCACCUGGCUACGUUGACGUUUCUGAGAUGGCGAACCAAGACAUCGGUGCGGGGAGCCCUCACGGUUCCUAGAUUCGAGCUCUUCUUGGCCCUGCUUUCCUUGCCUUGCAUCACGCAAGCUUGUGCAUUCGUUAUAUCGGGUACGUGGUUCAUGAAAAAUGCUGUACCACGAAUUUACUUAAUUGUGGGUCGCAGGAGGCAGCGUUGCUGGGAUUGUGGUGGGCGUGAUACUUCUGGGAUUGCCUGCCGCGUUCAUGCUGUGCGUCUCUCUCUUCCUGGCCGUAGGGGUGGGCAAUGCGGCAUUUGUACAGUACCAAGAGGUGAGUUUAGUGGGGAGGAAGCAGGUCUCCUGUCAUGAAGCAGUGUUAGCGUCCGUGGUUGGCAAGCGGACUUUUGGGAGGUGGGUGCGCAAGGCGGGGCUGUCGUCUACGUUUCUGCCCAGGUAUGGGUUGCUGUUUGAAGACCGUAAAGGUCCUCCCAAAGUGGUGGUGGUGGAUGCGGAGCAAGAGGCGACGGCAUGGGUUGACAGUGGCUCCAACGGCAUUGGAAGGAUGAAAGGGAUCAACUGGGAGGGCGAGCAGGCGGAGCACGCCGCUAAAUGGAGCAGGAGAUGGUCUGUGGGAGCAGCCAGGACGGCUUACAUCGUUGUGGACAUGCUCCGCCGGGCAGCCCUGGGGAUCCUUUUUGGCGCGUACCCGGCUGCAAUUGGUGGUGGAACAAGCCAGGUUCUGAGUGCGCUGCUCAUCACCGCGUCCCAGCUGCUCUACUUGAUGCUGCUCAAGCCUUUGAUUCGGCGGGGCGUCCACGCGGUGGAGGCGGUGUCGCUGGCGUGUGAAGCGGGAGUCUUCGCGACUGCUCUUGCGCUGUCAUGGCAUCGGUAUGGCAAGGCUAGUGCAUUUGUCAUGCUGGCCUUUCUGCUCGUCACCUUCAUAGCGCAGCUUGUGAAUGAGUGGUAUGCACUCAUGGGACUGCUGCUCCGCCUGCCAUCCGCGGAGCAGCCGUCGCUCAGCCUGGGGCUCAAGAUGCUGCUGCGGGGCCUGCUGCUGCCGUUUGUCCCCCGUUCAAAGUGGUCCAAGUUCGUCACCCCGCACGCGAACAGGCAGCCGGCGACUGGCCUCGCCCCGGUGGUGCACUUCACUAGUCCGUCACCAGACUUCCAACAAGCACGGUCCAUACGGCCGGAUCAGGCCGGAGUGGAGGUUCCGGCACCGGAUCCACAGCUGCCGCGGUCGCCAGCGGGAGGAAACAAGAAACAGACGUGGAAUGAGUGGGUGAGAUCGCUGUCCUUGUCGUCGUCGGCGCGGCCGCAGGAGGAGACACUCAAGGUGUUGCGGGAGCUCGCCAGAGCCAGCUUCCCGGGAGGAGAUGAAGUGCGGGGCAAGCAAAAGAUUGGCUGUGGGAGCAGUGCGGAGGAAACCACGUCGUCGUCGUCGUCGGGCGGUGCUGUUGCCCAGGAGAGAUGAAUCCUCAGAAAAAACGCGAAAUGAAAAGUUUUAGCUAGGGUUUAACUAGGUCUGGCUUUGAUGCUGCGCAUGAUGCAAAGGCACCUGUGUACGCCUGCAGCGAUUCCGGCCCCGACACGCGGCGCCGCCUGCCUCGGUCUCUCAUCCGCCCCUGCAUCCGUCCGCAUCUUCUCCUCUUCCACUCCCCCACGAGCAAGAGCACAGGCGCUGAGGGCCGUGUCCGAUAUGGCGUUUGAGCGGAUCAAAGUCGACAAUCCGAUCGUGGAAAUGGAUGGUUCGAUUUCGCACUUACCAGCUGCGUUGCCUGACCUCGCAUUCCUGCUUUUCGACAGGUGAUGAGAUGGCCAGGGUGAUCUGGAGCAUGAUCAAAGAAAAGGUACAUGGAUAGCACACAGCAGCGGCAAAGAGCAAUCAUUCCCUUCUUUUCUUGCAGCUUGUUGUGCCGUUUGUGGAUGUGGAUAUCAAAUACUACGAUCUUGGCAUUCUCAACCGAGAUGCCACCGAUGACAAAGUGACUGCUGAAAGUGCGCAGGCUACCCUCAGGUACGUAGGAUUUUUGCUGCUCUAUAGAGUUUCGAUCGGCACGAUAUUGACUCGUCACAGGUACAACGUGGCCGUCAAGUGUGCAACCAUCACUCCUGGUUUGUUUUUCCGUUUGCUUGCAACCCAGCCUCAGGCUUUCAUUGUUGUCGCGCUGCAGAUGAGACUCGGGUCAAAGAGUUUGGGCUUAAGAGAAUGUGGAAAAGUCCCAACGGAACCAUCAGGAACAUCUUGAAUGGUAGGUAGAUGAGCUCAAUGCAUUCUAUCUCUCAUCUCCGCUUCAGGUACCGUGUUUCGGGAGCCUAUCCUUUGCAAAAAUAUUCCGAGACUUGUGCCAGGUGAUUGAUUUACUAAAAUGUAAGCUUGGGGCCGAAGCAGUCUUUUGCAGGAUGGCAAAAGCCAAUUUGCAUUGGCAGGCAUGCUUUUGGGGAUCAGUACCGAGCAACAGACAUGGUGAUUCAAGGUCCUGGAAAGCUUAACCUGGUAUACGGUAUGUCAUCGAGUGUCAUUUGUGGUAUAUACCCACAUAUGUCUUUUAACAGUCCCUGACAAUGGAAAGCCGGUGGAACUGGAAGUAUAUAACUUCAAGGGCGCGGGUGGCGUGGGACUGUCCAUGUUUAACACAGACGAGGUCCUUAUGCCCGUACUGUUUCCGGAGCAAUGCCUGACAUCUUUGUAAACGUCGUCUUGAAGUCGAUUGCAGCUUUUGCGAAGUCGUCGAUGAUGAUGGCCUAUGACAAGAAAUGGCCUCUAUACUUGAGCACAAAGAACACAAUCUUGAAGAAGUACGACGGCAGGUAUGACUCUAAUGUUCUCAAAGUAAACGUCCACCUUGUAAUGGUUGAUCUCUUCGCCUCCAAGGUUCAAGGAUAUCUUCCAGGAUGUAUAUGAAGCCGACUGGAAAUCAAAGUUUGAGGAAGCCGGAAUCUGGUAAGCAUACAGCCUAUUGACUAUAUGUCCAUGGACAAUGCUGGCGCAGGUAUGAGCACCGGCUUAUUGAUGAUAUGGUCGCGUACGCUCUGAAGAGUGAAGGUGGUUAUGUAUGGGCCUGCAAAAAUUACGACGGCGAUGUUCAGAGCGAUUUUCUUGCUCAAGGUACGCCUCGGUGUACAACGUUGUCUCUCAUUUAUUUCGAGUACCCCCAGGUUUUGGUUCACUGGGUCUCAUGACUUCAAUUCUGGUAAGUCGAGGCAAUUGGACGGCCUGUUUAAUAUGUGUUUGAUGUAGAGAUGUCCCGAUGGGAAGACCAUCGAAGCUGAAGCUGCUCAUGGCACAGUGACACGGCACUUCAGGGUGCAUCAGAAGGGAGGAGAAACUAGUACGAACAGUAUAGCAUCCAUUUUUGCAUGGAGCCGGGGACUUGGCCACAGGUAAGACGUCAGGCUUGUCUCUCGCUUUGGCUUUAGACCGUGAGUGCAGGGCUAAACUGGAUGGUAACUUAAAACUACAAGAAUUUGCUGAGAAGCUGGAAGCGGCUUGUGUUGGGACUGUCGAAGCUGGCAAGAUGACUAAAGAUCUUGCGAUACUUCUCCAUGGCCCGAAGUAAGUUGGCAACAACUUUCUUUGUUUGCUCACGUUCUCUGUUCUUGUAACAGGGCUCCUCGGAACAUGUAUCUUAGCACCGAAGACUUUUUAGAUUCGGUCGCAGGCGAUCUCAAGCGGCGGCUGUCCCCUGCUACUUCCAAACUGUAACCAGACUUACUUUGUGCGCUCAGUCAUUUAUAUUCAUUCCAUUUGAUAACAGGGAGGAGCCGCUUCUUCAAGGCCGCUGAGAAUCAAAGUACAAUAACUUGCUUCUCCGCAAGAAAAGUUUGUACAGAACGGAAAUAAAGACUGCGCUUCUACACAAGCCUCUUUCACUUAACGUCUUCUUCAUCAAAUGCACCCAGGGCCUUCAUGUCCUCCAGAAAAGCGGAAUAGGAGUCGUCGAUGCUUUGAGGCUUGACAGCUAGAACGGGAGGCCUCGGUGUUAUGGCUGGGGCAGCAGCGUGAGUUACAGACGGCUUAGGCUUUGCUUUCGGUGCUGUUUCUCUUCUAACUCUCACAGACGCUGGCACCUGUCAAGGGAGUCGCAAAAUGAAAUAAAUAGGUAACUUUCGAAGUUACGUACCAUGGCAGUGAGGCCCGGAGUGUGCUGUGCUAGGGGUCGCUUUGUCGCUGUUGGGGCCGCAGACUUGACAUAGAAUGGCUUAUUGGUGGUGGUGGUCUUAGGGGGGGCUUCUUGUGCUGUUGCUCUUGGUGCUACAGCUGCUGGAGGAACACUGCCGUAGGCCAUGCCAACGUGAGGAAGACCUGGCGGUGGUGGAAACGUGAAAUGUGGCUGUGAUAUACCAGCUGGUGGUGCAACCAUUCCAGGAGGGGCCAGCGGCAACCUUGGAGGAACAGGGGGCGGAGGUCUCAUUGCUGGUGGUGGUGGUGGUGGUGGUGGUGGGAGUGGUGUCAUUUGCAUCGGCGUUACUAAGGGUGGCCGGACCACAGCAGAUGACGUUGAGGCAGCUUUUUCUCGUUCAGAGUCGGAGUCGUCAUCGUCAUCGUCGUCGUCAUUAUCAUCGUCUCCAGAGUCUUGAGGUGGUGUAUCUGCCAACUACAUGCCAACAAAGGGUCAACACUAUGACAAGAAGCACGCUAUACGAACCUCUGCUCUCGCAUCGUUCCCUGCUGAGGUAGAGGGCUCCCCGGGAGGUGGAAUAUACGUCAUAGUCGAAGGCUUGGGUGGCAAGCGAGGAGCAGGAGGCGGCGGAGGAACGGGCACAGAGAGCGGGUCCAACUCACUCACUUCCCUGCUCACAGGCAAAGGUGGCGGAGGAGGCGGCGGCGGGAGAGGCACAGCUACAUUCAGCUCGGGCGCUGAAAUCACAUGGACACCAACAUUAGGGACUUGAGAGCUGAUAUUGAGCGAUCGCGACAUGUACCUGAUCCUGUGAAUGGUCUGUACAUUGGCGGCUUCCCAGGUGGUGGAACUCCAGCGGGAUUUAGCGUCGUAUGGUCAUACGCAGAGUCCUGGAACUUGUUGUAAGCACAAGUACAAUGGAGUGCGGGACCGUGUCACCUGAGGUGUGUAUGGCUUGUCGUCGUCUUCUUCGCCUGGAGCUUUUGCUCGAGGAGCAGGCAAGUGGCUGUCAUCCAAUAGACCUGUCAGAUGGUUUGGCACAAAGGCAUAAAAUCUCUAGCAACAAACAGCUUACCUGAACAUAACCGGAUCUUCUCCUUUUUCUUUCAUCUUGUCCACGUACUCCUGGUUGCACCCAGCGUUUUAUGAUUGGUACCCACAACCUGGGAGGUUUCAAGAGCAUACCUUUCUCUUCUUGAGAACGAGGUUGAGAGUGUCCUCGAGCUGCCGCUUCUUGUGCCGCCUCGUCUUGUCCAGAGCUCCAUCUGCUUCUGUAUCUAAAACGUUUGCCGCGCACUGUUUGUCAGUGUUGGCCUAGAAAUGCAUGCGCGCUUACUCUGGGUGUCGAGCUUCUUGAUCUGGUCCUUGAGAGCCUCCGGGUCCUUUUUGAGAAUGCCCACCUCCCUCACCUUCUUCCUCUCCUUUUUGUUCUGCAAACAUGGAAUUGAGCGACAGGAAGAGCAAGAGCAAGCGCAACUCACUCGUUUCAACUCCUUCUUGCGCAGCUCCUUGCGGUAUGCGUCCGUGGGAUUCAUCGCCUUGCCGCCCUUGCUCUUCAUGGCUCCAGCCCUUGUGCCCUAGAAAAUGAUAGCCUAGGGCAGACUAUUAUUUACAGUUGCGCAAACAAAACAAUACGAGCCUAGAAUCUGGUGGAGGAUGGGAUCCGGGUCAUUCCCGAGGGCACAAAUCCCCGCUUCUUCCUCAGGUAGAGCACCGGCGAGAACACCGCCAGCAACCCCAGCAUGAUUCCCUGCGACCAAACAAGCGUGAUGGGAUGACACUCGAAAACAAAUUGGGCCACCCACCUCGAAGCCGACAACGCUGAGCCUGUCCUCGGGAACGGACGGCACGCAGCUCCUGUAAAUGUGGAAGAUGUUGCUGCUGCUGCUGUCUUGCUGCCUCGCGCUUGCCGCCUUGCGGGGGGCUCCCUCCUCGUCUUGUCGGGUGACGCUCACGCACUUGUACGGCAUGUAGUAGCCCGUGGCGGAGCAGUGGUAGACGUCAUCGUUUUCCUGCCAUGGCGCCCGUGGGGCAUCAGGCGCAAGCAAGAGAUGGUGAAACAGUCCCUGGAAAACCUUUUGAGCGAGGGCGCAGGGCACGCAGCGCUGGGACGCGAUGCAUUCGAAGCUGGAAUUCCCCUGUUGCUCCGAUAUCACCAGAGGCGAGGAUGACGACGAUGCCGUGCUGGAGAUACGAGCACACAUGAAUCCAUCCAUCCAUCCAUCCACAGGCCGAGGGAAGCUUACCAUUGAUGCGCAACCACGAGCAAGAGGCCAAGUGCCAGCCACCGCUGCGCCAUUGCGCAACCUAACCCUAAAGUCGGGCACCACUCCAUGGCGGAGGCGAGCAUUGCGCGCGUGCUGCGCAGCGGGGCCGCCGAUGGCGAGCACGCGGCUGCCGUGAUGGUGAUCAACGCCGUCGAUACAACAGCCGGGUUGGGCAUCUUCAGGCAUUUUGUGGAAUCGCUGGUUGCCAACCUUGCGUCUGGAGCGGCACAAGCGAAGUAAGUGUUUGCUUCGUCUCUCUUGUUUGACGCGCUCGCUUGCAAGCCGCAGAGGAUUGGUGUUGGUGGCAUCGUCUUCUAGUCCGCAAACUUACUCCUCCGUGCUGAGAAAUGUGUCAUCGUCCUGGUAAGAACAUUGUUCUUGCGCUGAAUUCUUUGUGACUCGAGACUUCUGCAAAGCUUUCAGGUUCUGGACUGUUUUUCGGAUCCCCUGGGGUGGGAAAGGCUGAUCUCGCCAAACACAACUAGUCUGGAGGAGAUGGAAGCUAUCGACGUGAGGAAGCUCAGCUCUCUUUUCUCAAAAAUUCACGAGGCUGGCAAAGGUAGUCCCCCCUUCUUUCUUUUGUCCUGCUUUAGCGAUCAAGCGUGUGUGUUUGCCAGUGUUCGCCGAUAAGCAACCUAAAGGAAGAUUUGCUGUCGCGAUUGACUCGGUACCAGUUGUCCUUCUAUCUCUGCUUUCUGAUCAUUGAUUGUCUCCUUUGUAUAUCGCAAAACCAGCUGACCUUUUUUAUGCGGCACCACUCUUUGGCCGCAGUCUCGAGCUUUAUUUGCCAGCUUCGGGCUCUCGGUACGACUUUGUAAGUUUGUAUGCCUUCUAACAGGGGCGAUAAAUGUGCAGAUAGCGUGUCUGCAAUCCUGUGGUUCACGGAUGGUGGUCUGCAUCAGGCCAGGGUCUUGGACGCACUGGAGUAUAAUGCAACAGCCACCGCUUUUGUGGAGCCGCAGUUGGAUUUUCUUGACACGAGAGGCGCCGGAAGGCUACGAAUCCGGCACAAGCGAAGAAACGGGCGGGUCUCAGAAAAGGUGCGUGCUCUGGCUAUUCAAUUUUGUGUGUGACAAGUCGAAAACGUUUCUUCAGGUGGAUGAGUUCAGGGUGGAGGUUGGGAGGUUCAACUUCUUCCCCGUGGAGCUUGGCACCAAAGUAGACAAUGUUGAUGCGAUUCACAAGGUAGUAGAGCUCUCAUUUUUUUCGGAGGCACAUGGUUUUGUGUGGCAUGUUCAGGUUCAGUUUAGACUGCACCUGUCAGACAAGGAAGUGGAAGACAGAUCCAGAGUGAGACUUCCCUUCGAACACCAAGGUAGGAGACUUCAUGCCUCUUCCAAGGAGCUUAGCCAUCCGUUCUGUGUUUCAGGGGACGGACAGGAGGUGCGAAUAUAUGACGGUCGCCAGUCAGAAGCUGGAGUCGAAACAAAAUCUUCCAGCGGCAGCAUUCACUACCUGCGGGAUUCCGACGACGAAAUGCCAGAUUCCGACGAAGACCCCGAUGAUGACUUGGACAUCUGAGCAGGAACUCUGGCUACUCAACCAUUAUACAACGAGUUUAAACUUUACACGCAGACUUGCGGAUUUUCAAGCGAACACAUUUCACCUGAGAAAUGGUGUGGAAGAACGUCUUCUCAAGCACUUCGUCUGGAAUUCCGGAUCCAAACAUGGACUGAGCAACGAACUAGAGUCCAGGGAGGUGGGAGAUGAGCGUGACGAUGACUUUGGCGUUGGUCUUCCCCACGCUCAUCUGCCAGUGGAUGAGACCCUCAUGCCUUCGCCCUUGGUGAUCACUCUGGCAUACAGCCGGCUGUCCGAGGUGAUGAUAGCGGCGUGGGCGCCGCCUUCUUCGACGUAGACAAGCUCCGAAGCUCGGGGAUGGGUGUGCGGAACGAUGAUCCCACCCAGUGCGAAGUCGAGCCUGCCAAUGGACAGGCCCAGCCCCGGGAAGAGUUGGACUGUUCCGAAGGUGGCACCAGCUCGGUCCACGUUGGUGGAAGACUUCAUCUAUUGCGGCCUCGUCAAUUCUUCCAAAUUCGACGGUGGGCGUUGAUAUUCAAGUCCAUGGUGAGAUUAGCGAUGCAGAAGUCCUGGAGGGGGGUCCGGGUCGGACGAAACAGCCGAGCCGACAAAGAAAGCGAACAACACCAGAGUGCAGGAGAGUCAUACAUACAAUUAUCUCUUUGGUAAGGAGUCAUGUCAAUCAAUCACACCGACACGGUCCCAGUAGGUGACUUAUCACUAGGGGAGAGGAAAAACUUUGCUUACAGCUUGUUACUUGUAGUAUCCGAUUUCCGGAUCGGCUGGAACCGGAGACUUUACCUCUAGUCUCGACAAAACUUCUGGAGCUCCUGUUGGAUCUCUUACAACCUGGGGCAAAAACGGCAUCGUUUCAAACAAGUGAAACAAGAGCUACUCACCAGCACUUCUUCGUCCAAGUACGAGAUAAGCAACAGCCUCUCGUAACUCAAGCCUCCACCUGAUCAGAUAAAACUUCCUAGUCAGGCUCACAGAUGUACUUUAGGUGGUUUACCAAGUGGAAGCUUGAGGCCGCCAGAGACGCUAUCCUUGACAGACUCCGGAAGCCUAUGAGCGGCAGCUACAAACUGGUCGUAAAUUCCUUGAACUUGGGUUGGAAUGCUGCCUUCCUUGACAAGCGGAGGAGCUAUAACACCAUCCACGUACUGUUCUUUAAGCCGCAAUGGCCCUUGAGCUGAAAUAUUUGUUGUCAAUAUGAAGCUCGUCUCAAUCUGCACCUCAUCAAACGAAAUGAGAGAGAAAGCAAAAUAAAGUUGGCAAUUGAGACCAGCAAAACUUACCGAGUUCAAGAAUUUGAGAUUGAGAGUAGCUCUCGCCAUUCCGUCCAUUACUCGUAGCGUGACUCCUUCGAUAGACAGCAAUGCGGGGAACGUUCUACACAUUACACAAGACACUGAAGUACUUUUUCCAACUUGCCUUUAGGACACAAUGUACGUUAUCAAAACCUUGGAUGCCAUGAACCGAGCUCCCGCCCACUCGAGAUUCCAAAGGCCCUCGAGAAGAGGUGACCUGGGGACAGAACCAAACUUGUCUUUGUUAGCCGCAUCAUGCGUCCCGCUUACGUCGUUGGACGUGGAGUUGGAUUCAAGCGCUCCACAGCGAGCAGCUUCUCACAUAUGUCGAGGACCGCAGCAUCGUUGCUCGCGUUUAGGCCUCCCGCAUCUUUCACCUAGUAGCAGCAAGGAGCAAACAAGAAAAAUCGAAACUGAGGAUAAUGCAUGGACUCACGGCGAAAAGUAGAGCCUCUUUUGCUGCGACGCGCUCCAUUUCUUUUGCAAACAGAGCCGUGGAUGGAUUGGCGGCCCUGGUGACGAGACGGCGGCGCAGGCGCCUGGGAGCGGGAAUCGCCGAGAUUGUCGAGACCGCGAGCCGGAAUUGGGCUCCAGGGAUUGGAAAAGCUGGAGCCGGAGCCGCAGGCGCCCCUCCAACUCUGAUACUCGCCAUAGCAACACAAAGUAAAUUAGGGCUUUAGUGCUCUGUUUUAGGGCUUUUCAUUUGUUCUCCCGAUCCACAAGAUUAUCGCCAGGCACAGUGGCACAACAGCGAAUGCGGCGUCGCGAAUGACUGCCUCGCUACCUUUGGAUAGCACACCGAUUCGCGACCAGUCGCCACUAUACCUGUGAAGCGACCAUGUCAAUGACAAUACAUGUACAUAACAAACGCACCCGGCGUCAAGGAAUCCCAGCGCGAACACUCCCACCGAGAGCUGCACGACCAGAGGAGGUGGGCUCUUGAUCGCAUUCGAGACAAGCGCCCUGCGACGGCGGGAUUUGCUACGAGUAGGACGACCGCCUGGAAAUGGCGCCAUCGUGACAAGAGACAGCUCCAUGACGAAGAAAGCAACCCUAUCUUUAAAAAAUACAGUCGUGGAGGGAAGAUUUACACGCGCUGCUGCAAUGUAAUGCAAUGCAAUGCUGGUGGAGGAAGAGAUCACCGCCUCAUUUUGCAUUGGUUGGAGCGGAAUGUUUUGGACGACACAACUUGGAGAAUGAGCUUCUCGAACCUCUUAGCUCCCGGGCCGGGACGAAGGACGGACGAAUCGCCCACCGUCAGGCAAGGGUCCUCGCCACUGUCGGACGAUCCCAAACACCAGCCUCCGGGCACAAAGCGGCCGGGAACGCGUCUCAGGAGCUCCUUGUCGAUCUUGUCCAGCACCGGAUCCUCUCGCGCGAAUUUCCUCGCGAACGGGGCGCCGCUGCUGGUCAUGUUCUUGAAGAGCUUGGACGUGAGCGUGAGCGGGUGCUGCUUCGGGGGGUUGUCCCACGCGAUGUAGUGCAAGUCGUGGUUGACGGUGGUGUUUCGAAACUCCCGCGAGUUGCAGAUGACCGUGUGGAAGUAUCCCUCGGGUGAGGAUAUAAAGUUGGUGUAGUACAUGAGCAGUGUCCUGGGAAGAUUGUCCCAUCCCAUGACGGUAUAGUCCACAAACGCUCGGGACAAUCCCACCCACGCCGACCCUGACCAGAAAAUCACACAAACAAACGUUGAGAAUCCUGAAACCUCUCUUGCUUUGCUCUUGUGUAGAUACCUGUGAAGAGUUUGAAUGCGGUAGGAAGAGACCUCCUCUGGGUGGCCCAAAAAACAUCGCUCUUUUUGUUGAGGUACAAUCCGGGAUCAACAAUGAGUGGCUUCGCCCUCUGGAACCUGGAACCCCAGCCGCCAGGCCAUGUCAGCCAGCAUAUAGAGGCAACAAAAAGCAAAACGUACUCUUUCCACCCGAUGUCGCUGGUGUGGUCUAUAAAGUUGAGAUCCUUGGGCAAGUAUGACAAGACAUGAAGCAAAUCUGGAGAAACCAAAGCCUGGUUGUCAAUAAGCAUAGGAAUCUUUCAAGCCACGUACCGUCCUGGGUAACGAGGGGGUAAUCCGAGGCGCUGAGGUUGAUAAACCAGUCCCAGUCGGGGCUCUGGCGAAGAAGGAUGGCGGCGGCAUGGAGCGUGCAGGACACCAUGGUCGGGCCUCGGUAAGUCACCAGGUUGGCCUUGCCAAUCACAUGCACGUUCUUGACGUCGCCGAAAGUUGGAUCCAUCUUGACAUAUCGCGCCAGCUCCACUCGCUCCCGGGGCGGCGCCUCCAGGUCCAGGUGCAGCACGUACUGGUUGCGCGGGUGGUAGAGCGCCUGCAGAACUCUCCGCAUGCGGUUGCCAUCGCCUUUGGUUCCCGAGAUCAAGUAGGCCAGGCGCGGAGGUGGCGGGAAGUCGGACGCAGGCAGCUGGCGGAUGGGGUCGCUGCCGGAUUGCUGGGCGCGCUGUGGCUGCUGCUGCUCCACGAACAAGUUGAGGUGGGAGAGAUUGGCUCGCCCAAAGUUGAUGGAGGUGGCCAGGAACAAGGCGAUGGAGACCAAGGUGCUGGCCACCAGUGGCAGCAGCCACUUCCUCUCCACAGCCGCCACCAUCGGAGGGGUUGCCUUCUUCAUGUCCGGGGCCCUCGCCAAAAGCUCACAUGAUCCUGCCUAGUAACCCGGAUUAGAAUUGGAGAGAGGAUUUGCCUGCUUGCCGCGGGAGAGAGACUAGGAGAUCCAAGCAAGAUCUGGCUCCAGCUCCACUUCGAAACCCUGAUCGAAGCCUAAAUUCUUGCACUAACCGCCAAAUGCAGCAUGGACGGACGCAUCACGGAUCAAGGACGCGCACGCAGACCACCCCGAGACAAAGCAAAGAAUCCGGCGCCUUGCAUUUGUUGCCCCCCUCUGCUCUCUCGUCUCUCGCCCGCCAUAGGCCCAGAGGUUGCUGCAAACAAAAUCCGGCCGCACACGUGGCACGGGGGAGUCGCUCGCAGCCGUGGAUUGUCAGCAGGAUUUGGGUGUUCUGGGAAUCAUCUUGCUUGCGGGGCGCGAUGGGGAUGUUUUACAUCCGCUCCGCAAUAGCACUUGGAGCGUGACAGCCACCAAACACUCUUGUUCUAAUAGCUCUUUGCUGUUUCAUCAGUGGCAACAGAACGCAACAGAGAAAGGAUUGGAAUGGCAGCGUGGUCAGAUAAUUGUAGUCUGAUUCAGGUCACCACUACGAUUCGCGUCUGAAUCAAUGUAUCAUCACCCCACACACAGGGGAAGCGAGAGAGAAGGAGGCGGCGCCCAAGAAACCCUAGAGCGGACACAAGUGAAUCUGGUUUUAGGGUUGAGGGUUUUAGCUUUAGGGAUGUCUGGGCGCGGGCGAGGAGCAUUUAGCCGCGGGCGUGGGCGGGGUCGCGGAGGAGGGGGGCGUGCCGGGCCGAUCAUCCGCGACGAGACAGGCGGGAUUCUCACCGCGAGGAAGCUCGAAGGGCCGCCUCCUCUCUUUCCGGUUCGUCCGCCUUCCUUGCGGUUUAAGACGUUGAUAAAUGAGUUUUAGGCGGUAGAGACACUACCCGAGAGGCCGGAUAUCACACAGGGAAACAAUGCGUUCCUUGUGGAGCGGAGGAGAACUCUCCACACAUUUUGGAACGAGUCGGCCUAUUACAUCGAGGCUGUCGACAAAGACACUUGUAAGCGAGAUUCUUGGCUUGCUACACCACACUAAGUUCUGUGUUUCUCCAGCUAGCGUGCCUUCGGAUGUCGAGCGUUGCUUGAGUAGAUCCAAGCCUGGCCCUCAGACCAAGCGAAAGUCCUUGUCGCUCUACCUUCAGCUCAGCUCCAUGUUCUUCCCUGCAGAGUUGCUAGGAAACCGUAAGCCUUUUUCGUUUUCAUUCCUUGCUCACUGGUGUUUUUCGGUAGAGAGAAAGAAAAGGAGGGAGAAUGACGAAGAAGGUAUAUGGAAUCUGAAGGGGAGCAGCAAGAGUGGUGAGUGUGUCAUCAUGUCCUCGCCAGUGUUUACGCUCCCAUUCUUUCAGAUCUUGGUCGGUUGGACAAGCUAGCGUCCCUGGAGCAGAAAGUUGGACAGGUUUGGAGUUUGUUGAUCUCGCUGCUGCGGAUGAACAGAGAAACGUUAUAUAUUCCAGAAAGGCGAUAAGGAAGCUGGCGAGAACAAGGAAGGGGAAGGUGCAGAAGAAGACGAGGAGGACCAAGACAUAGCUUUUGAUGACGAGGAUGAAUUCGAGGACGACUAUGGGAAGGUGCGUGUUGCUCCCACCGAAUUUUUCAUUUUGUUUCUUGACUGUUCAUCUCCAGAACGAGGAGUUCGAUGACGACGAAGAGUACGACUUUGAUGAUGGUGGUGGCGAUGAUGGUAAGGCGUACAACUUGUUGCUUCUCAACUCCUGAAUGGUUUUGUGUUCAACAGAAGGCCCUACGUACUGAGGAAGGAACAAAUGAAUGCAUGAGGAAGAGAAGAAGGAAAAAAAAAAAGGAAAAGCUUCAUGAUUGAGUUACAAUUUCAGGUGGCACAAAGGUAUGCCUAGCAAUCGCUUGGUUCUCAGCUUUCAUUGAUCGAUUCAUAGCUAAGCUAUAAAUAUGCACGCAGGCGCAAUAUCUUUCAAGGAUACAAAAGGUGGACAUAUCUGUGAGCUCGGAUGAGAAACACUGCGGGGACUUCUAGUUGACGCUGAUAUCUCCGCUCAUGCCAACGCCCUGAUGGGGUUCGCAGUAGAAGCCGUAGGUGCCUUUGGUCUGCAAAGUCACUUUGUAGCUCUCACCCGGUGCAUUCAACAGGUCGGGGUGGGACAAGGCGUCGGCAUUGACACCCGAGGGAACCGCGUCCUCGUCGAAGAUAAUGUUGUGCGGGAAGCCAGCGUUGUUUUCGAAGAUGACGGUGUCGCCGGCGCCAAUGCUGAUGUUCUUGGGGAUGAAGGCGAGGGAGCCAUCGUCGCCUCCCAUCUUGACGGUGACGGACGCUGCCAGAGCCGAGGAUGCCCCCAGGAGAAGCCCCGCUGACACUCCCACCAUCACUUUGCCGGCUCUCUUGGCCACGCCCUCCAUGGACGAGACGCAGACGAGCGGAGCUUGGUGCUGCACUGGCCUUGCAUUGCGUGCGAUGCUCGGCUUCACCACUUCCCCGGCCUUGAGCCCCACGAAUGUGGGAACUGCGAGCUUUGAUGCUGCAACCGACGACGCCAUCUGAUUGAUAGCAAGCAAGCAAAACCAGUUACUUCCUCUUCCUCCCUGGCUUACUUCUUCUUGUUCUUCCCUAGCUUUACUAGCUACUGCUAUGGAGUCGAUAAAAUGGGAUGGCGUUACAGGUGGCGCAAUCGGAGCCAGGAGGACUGGAUAGAGAGUGCUCCAGUGCCUUGCUGCCACGUGUAAAGUGUAUCUUGUGCAGCAAAUGGGGCGUUGCCACGUAAGCAAAACU